rnacentral:rRNA from 1 species
UACGUAGGGUGCGAGCGUUGUCCGGAAUUAUUGGGCGUAAAGGGCUCGUAGGCGGUUUGUCGCGUCGGGAGUGAAAACACCGGGCUUAACUCGGUGCUUGCUUUCGAUACGAGCAGACUAGAGGCAUGCAGGGGAGAACGGAAUUCCUGGUGUAGCGGUGAAAUGCGCAGAUAUCAGGAGGAACACCGGUGGCGAAGGCGGUUCUCUGGGCAUGUCCUGACGCUGAGGAGCGAAAGUGUGGGGAGCGAACAGG